UGGGGAAUCUUGGACAAUGGGCGCAAGCCUGAUCCAGCCAUGCCGCGUGGAUGAUGAAGGCCUUAGGGUUGUAAAAUCCUUUCGCCGAGGACGAUAAUGACGGUACUCGGAGAAGAAGCUCCGGCUAACUUCGUGCCAGCAGCCGCGGUAAUACGAAGGGGGCUAGCGUUGUUCGGAUUUACUGGGCGUAAAGCGCGUGUAGGCGGGUCGUUAAGUCAGAGGUGAAAUCCCGGAGCUCAACUUCGGAACUGCCUUUGAUACUGGCAAUCUAGAGUCCGGAAGAGGUUAGUGGAAUUCCCAGUGUAGAGGUGAAAUUCGUAGAUAUUGGGAAGAACACCAGUGGCGAAGGCGGCUAACUGGUCCGGUACUGACGCUGAGGUGCGAAAGCGUGGGGAGCAAACAGGAUUAGAUACCCCAGUAGUCCCUGAGCGGGCUGGCAAGGCGCAU
rnacentral:rRNA from 1 species